rnacentral:lncRNA from 1 species
CUUAGGUUAAACAGUCAGGUGGGCCAAACAUAUAACUCUCUUCAGGUCCUGAAGUCGUACAUGUUGUGCGGCCUUUAUUGCCCUACAUAUUGAAACUAUUAGAUAAGUUAAUAUACAUGCACUUUUUCUACUAAGUGCAUUGGGUACCACAUUACCAUUGCCUAGGUUAUACAAGAUAUUGUAAUCGUAGUCAUUGAUGAGUUCUAUCCAUCGUCUCUGACUCAUGUUGAGAUCUUUUGAGU